CAUACGACUCUCGGCAACGGAUAUCUCGGCUCUCGCAUCGAUGAAGAACGUAGCGAACUGCGAUACUUGGUGUGAAUUGCAGAAUCCCGUGAACCAUCGAGUCUUUGAACGCAAGUUGCGCCCGAAGCCAUCAGGCCAAGGGCACGUCUGCCUGGGCGUCACGC
rnacentral:rRNA from 1 species